GCUAAAUCCGCCAGGGAGAUCAGGAGGUUCCACAUAACGAGCCAUCGGUAUUUUAAGGUCCACUUUCGAGGUUACGGUCGCCGCAGGAGUCCAGUUUCUAUGCGCUUACUUAUGGUGGGUAGCCGAAUCGUCGGAAUUUUUCUGUUAUCUGUAUCGUGGGUAGACUCGACCGUUCUUCUCGGCAGCUGUGUCCCCUGUCAGUGUCUCCGUUCAGAAAUUAACCCUUCCGAAUGGUCGAGCCUCUCGGCAGCGUUUACGAGGCUGGUCGACGACGAGAGGAAACGUUUCUACGAGGCGAAUCAUCGGUCACGACAAGCGAUGCCCACGAUCCGUGUGUACGGGUUGCACACGCACCUACGCGCGUAUAUACACGUCGUGGCGCGCGCGCGUGCAUAGAUAGAGGGCGAGGCACGGUGCAACCGCACGUGUGUACACUUUACAUAUGUAUAUCUUGCACACGACGUAUGUACACUGCGUAACGCCUAUACGACAGCGGGCCGCGCCUAACGAACCGAAAUGAUACCUACCAGUAGCGUGUACGUAUAUAUACGCGCGUCGACGCGCGUAUGGAAGCGCGUCGGGCACACAGUCGCACGGGAACACGUGUCGCCGCACAGCGAGAACAGAGCAGCAGCGGCGGCGAGCUUGCUUAAUGCUUGGGCAUUAACGUUAAUUGAUGGAUUGUUUUUAAUAUUUAACGCUUCGUCUCUUCUCCUCCCUUCUUUCUUGAGGUACUCCGCCUCUGCUUUUCUCGCUUCGUCUUUGCCUCGUUCGCAUUACGUAUGCGCGCGAGCAAAAGGGUGACUAUCGAUUAUCGGUAUCGUAUCGAUAUCUUAUUGGUAUUUAACAUGGAUAAUAUCGUUAAUUCGAUCGUGACGGGAGUUACUCAAGUUGAUCGGAGUAGGACGCAUUAAAUUCAUCGUUACACUGCUGUAUCUUGUACAACAUUGUAUGUGUUAUAAAUGUACAAAUAUAAUAGGCGGAUUUGUUAUCAAAAUCUUACCAUUGGAAAGUUACGUAGUUGGGAAUUGGAAAAUUGAGCGGCGAUCAGAGGCUGCACCUCCGUACGACACGAUGAUACCAUAACGAUAUAAUCGAUAUUUAUAAAUAACGAUAUCGAAAAUCACAUUGUAAUUCCUGGUCGACGCGUCUCCUCGACUCGAUGUUCGUGUUGGCCGCAUUACGAACAUAAACGGUUCGUUCGGUCCUGUUGGUAUUGCCUCCUUUGCGGACAGCUGACCACGUUUUAUGUCCGAACACACUCUCUCCGCGUUGCCACGUAUACACGAGUCCGCAUCGAAGCGCCGAUAUACGAAGAGAGGUUGACGACGACGACGACGACGAGGACGACGACGGCGACAGUGACGACGACGACUACGACGAGGACGAGGACGAGGACAAGGACAAGGACGAUAAGGACGGUGACAGUGGUCGCCCUCCUGUAUUCGUUUCACGGUGAGUUUAACGUGAUCGACCGGUCGAGGCUGAGUGUAAUCGGCGAAGUACAAAGACGAGCAGUGAUAGAAGAGAUUCGAAUUUGAAAGAACGAAGUUGUUUUCGCGCGGCAACCCAGUUAAAUAGUCGAACAGACAAAUCGAGUCGAAGUGGAUCGCGAUAUCGAGAAAAUUUGAUCGGGGGAAGAAAAAAGAAAAUCAUCGAUCAUGUCAGGGACAAGCUGAUGACCUUUCGAACGGCUGCGACGAUGUGACAAUAAAGAUACCUUCUUCCGCGUCCUCUCUUAUAUCACGGGGGUAUUAUCCCUGUUGCAUGGUGCUUCCCGGAAUAGAACGAGAAAGCGACAUUCGAGGGAUCACCGGUUAGAUCGGUGGUCGAAGGAAACCGUGCCAAAAGUCGAUAGACGAGCCAAUCAAAGCGAAUUUACGGCAUCCGGAUGCUUCGAUGAACUUUGCCGAACGUCGAGAUAAUUAAGAGAAGACGAGAACAGAGAGAAAAGUCAAGCUAUCGAGGAAGGAACUGAAAUAGAAAAACACGCGACCAUUACGCUGGAGACGACAAAUAAAAUAUAAAGUUGGCCGUACAAGCUGAUCGGUGGAAGGAAGGUGAAAGUGUUUAAUUAAAGAGGAGAAAGAAAAGGGUGGCAGGAGGGAAAGAAGUGGA